ensembl:lncRNA
GAGGGAAGCUCGGAAAGCUAAGCAGAAGUUAUUUGGAGAGGAGAGUGACUGCCGUUGGUUGAAAAGAGAGCACUUCCAGGAGGAUGGAGGUCUUUCUCUCUGAGAGGUUUAUGGACCAGACUGCAGGAGCUGAAAAUACUGACUGUAAUGAUGGAAGAACCCUCAGGGCCAUUUCAGAUUCACUGGAGUAAAGCUGCAUAGAUCAGAUUGCCAAUGAACCUGAUUUCUUCUGAAGAUUCUGAGAAGUCAGAAACGACACUGAAAUAAAAGAACGAAACAUGAUGUAAUUGAAUAGCAGGUAUUUAUGAUGUCCGGAUGGCCUUUGAAGUAUAGACGGGGGAAGCACCACCUCUUUGUGUUCACUGUGCAGCAGCUACAGAGCUCAGGAAAAAGGGAGAGGAAAAAGUCUGGUCUUCCAAGUGGGAAAUGUGAUUGCCUUUCUUUAGUCGAAUUGUACGGAGGAGACAAACUGUCUGGCAGUUGUUCUUAAUUGGAGAAGAGUUCUGUUAUUGCUCCAUUCUUAUAGGUGAGUUAACUUGUUGUGAACAAGAAUACGAAGUUAUACAAAGUUAAACCAUCAACAAUGAUAUGCUAGCAGCCAUGUGGUUCUACAAUUGUGAAGGUGCUUGUCAUUACAAGAAAACAAUGAUUAGAAUAAAAUGUGCUCAAGUUUGUUUAGAUGAUAGUGUGCAGCUGUAGAUCAGAGAAAAAGCAAAUGAUUUGUGAAUGUGUGUCUCUGUUUUAGGUUGGUUCAGGACAGACGGAACAAUUGACGGAAAAAGUGUGGACUUUAUACCAGUUUUUAAAUUGUGUUGAUAGGCCACGUAAAACCAGAGUUAUGAUAAAAAUAUAUGCAAUGUUUGAUUUUGUUCCUGAAUACUAUCGUUGUUUAUAUUUACUGCGGGAAGAAACGGUAAAAACGGCGUUUUAUAAGAAAAAAGGCUCGAAAGCACUCUCC